GCUUGUACUGUCAUUGUGACACAAGUGAGUCAUAUGUCUUCUCUUUUGCGCUAAGGAUGAAUGUUAUGAUUACACUAUUUCCAUUUGAUUUCUUAUGUAUAGCAUGAUUUUUGAAUUGGUUGGUUGAGAAUCAAAAGGAAGAGUGAUAUGUGUCUAGAGGAUAUCCGUUGCUAGACAAAAGUAAGGUGCAUGCAACCACAUCAACUUAUGUUAGCUUUGGUUAGGGUUAGCGCACCUAUAAUACCUUCUUUAUGCUGUCUAAAAUAGCAUUCUAUUCUACCUAGAUCAUUCCGUGGAGUAUUGAUAUUUUCUUAUUUCUGUUGCAGCUGUUGGUAACUUCUUG
rnacentral:misc_RNA from 1 species